rfam:Tessaracoccus sp. ZS01 NODE_1_length_779956_cov_63.7766_ID_806, whole genome shotgun sequence.
CGAGACGGCCAGAUGAUCGCGGCUGGAAACAGCUGAGGAAAGUCCGGGCUCCACAGAGCAGGGUGGUGGGUAACGCCCACCCGGGGUGACCCGCGGGACAGUGCCACAGAAAACAGACCGCCCAGCAAUGGGUAAGGGUGAAACGGUGGUGUAAGAGACCACCAGCGCUCCGGGUGACCGGAGCGGCUAGGUAAACCCCACUCGGAGCAAGACCAAGAAGGCCGGCCCCAGGGCCGGCUGCGGACACCGUUCGAGCGCUGCUCGCGCGAGGUGUCCGGGUAGGUUGCAUGAGCGCACCGGCAACGGUGGGCCUCAGAUAGAUGAUCAUCCGUCGACAGAACCCGGCUUACCGGCCGUCUCGUCCC